UACGUAGGUGGCGAGCGUUAUCCGGAUUUACUGGGCGUAAAGCGCUUGUAGGCGGCUUCGUAAGUUGGGCGUGAAAGCUCCGGGCUUAACCCGGAGAGGCCGUCCAAUACUGCGGAGCUCGAGGGUGCCAGAGGAAGGUGGAAUUCCUGGUGUAGCGGUGAAAUGCGUAGAGAUCAGGAGGAACACCCGUGGCGAAGGCGGCUUUCUGGGGCAUUCCUGACGAUGAGAAGCGAAAGAUAGGGGAGCAAACAGG
rnacentral:rRNA from 1 species